rnacentral:rRNA from 1 species
CAAUAGCGUAUAUUUAAGUUGUUGCAGUUAAAAAGCUCGUAGUUGGAUUUCGGGUGGGACGCAGCGGUCUCGCAUUGCGUUUGUACUGCUGCAGCCCUCCUUCUUGCCGGGGGCGGCCUCUCGGACUUCACUGUCUGGGGGUCAGAAUCGGCGAUGUUACUUUGAGUAAAUUAGAGUGUUCAAAGCAAGCUUACGCUCUGAAUAUAAUAGCAUGGGAUAACACGACAGGACUCUGGCCUAUCGUGUUGGUCUAUAGGACCAGAGUAAUGAUUAAGAGGGACAGUCGGGGGCAUUCGUAUUCCGUUGUCAGAGGUGAAAUUCUUGGAUUUACGGAAGACGAACAUCUGCGAAAGCAUUUGCUAAGGAUGUUUUCAUUGA